rnacentral:lncRNA from 10 species
CGGGGUUGGAGGGUUGGAAGGUCGGGAAGUGAAGGACUCGCAGGCAUAUUUAACAACGCAAAGUUGCUAGGAGUUGGUACCAGCGUUUGGGAGGUAGAGGUGGCGCUCAUGCAUAUUUGAGACAACAUCUGGAUGGUUGGGGAGAACGGUGAUGCCACACUCAAUCAGAAACUAUGCUACUGCUGAAGAGGUAUAUUGAGCCCUGCCUGGUUAACCUCCAGUGAGGUUAUUAGAGAAUUGGGAGAGGCUCAAAUCAGCAUCCUGCACCUAGUUAUCAAACCAUUGUGAAGUCUUGAUUCCUGGAUGGCCAGAAAACUUGUCAUUGGUCAAGAGCAACAUUAAGAUCUGCCUGUUACUCAUACUGAUGCUUCCUGCCCAGCAAGUUCAUCAGAGGGCGAGGAUGAAUUACGGUUGCCAUGAAUGUCCUUGUGAGGCAGUUGGGAAGCCUUGGCUGGAUUGUGAAGGAUAUUUGAAAAGUAUUUUAGAGUCCACCAGAUCAUCCAUGUGAGUGACCAUGCAGCAAAAGAAGGAGGGUCCUCUCAGUGAUUAAGGAUUAUGAAGUAUUAAUUCUUCCACUGAUAUCUCAAAAGGUGAUCUGGACAAAGGAACAGGUAUCUCAGCUUCCAAGUUUGCUGGAGCCAUGUUUUCUCUAAUGUCCCCACAGAACAGUGGUUGGUAGGAUGGCG